rnacentral:rRNA from 1 species
AGACCCGAAACCCGGUGAUCUAGCCAUGGGCAGGUUGAAGGUUGGGUAACACUAACUGGAGGACCGAACCGACUAAUGUUGAAAAAUUAGCGGAUGACCUGUGGCUGGGGGUGAAAGGCCAAUCAAACCGGGAGAUAGCUGGUUCUCCCCGAAAGCUAUUUAGGUAGCGCCUCGUGAAUUCAUCUCCGGGGGUAGAGCACUGUUUCGGCUAGGGGGCCAUCCCGGCUUACCAACCCGAUGCAAACUGCGAAUACCGGAGAAUGUUAUCACGGGAGACACACGGCGGGUGCUAACGUCCGUCGUGAAGAGGGAAACAACCCAGACCGCCAGCUAAGGUCCCAAAGUCAUGGUUAAGUGGGAAACGAUGUGGGAAGGCCCAGACAGCCAGGAUGUUGGCUUAGAAGCAGCCAUCAUUUAAAGAAAGCGUAAUAGCUCACUGGUCGAGUCGGCCUGCGCGGAAGAUGUAACGGGGCUAAACCAUGCACCGAAGCUGCGGCAGCGACACUCAGGUGUUGUUGGGUAGGGGAGCGUUCUGUAAGCCUGCGAAGGUGUGUCGUGAGGCAUGC